UUGGUAUGUCCGGAUCCGCUUUAUGAAAGCAUUUAUGGACACACUUUUUGUUGGUGGUACUGCUUCAGAAGACACCGGCCUGGAAGUUUUCUCACUUUCUCUCUUCCUUCUAUCGUGAGCGAAGCGUUGAAGAACCAGUAAGGAAUUUAAUUUCCAAUCUCACCUCCUAACUUUUAUAUUGCCGGCCUUUUUUUUUUAGAUUCGCCCCCAGUAUCUUGGUUGUAAGAGUUAAUACGCUUUCUGAAGACGAUACAUGAAGCAAAACGGUCGUGGAACAAGGGUUAACAGCUAGGAUGGAAAUGUGCAGGCCUAUCGUCUGGCACUUGAUUUCGAGACUCUUUUCAUCCCCCAAACGACCCCUUGGGCCGCUCAAAAAGGAAAUGAAAGCUUGAAUUUGUGAAUUCAUUCGUUCAUUUCUUUUGUUGGGCAAUAGUAAUGGGUGUAGAUGGUUCGCCACACACAAACAUGUUCACCAAUUGCCCCAUGGGGAAGAACGCAGGAGACACUGUUUUUCCGUCUUUACUGAUGUUCUGGCCAGGAGACCACAAAAGAGGCUAUUCUGUUAUUCUUAGAAACGUCUUUGCCAAGUAAGCGCAGAUCGCAGCUAAGAUUGGUUCUUCUCUCAGACAUCGCAGCUAGGAGAAUACGUAUAUAGAUAACCGCCUCUGGAAUUGGGCGCGAUGCGUGCAAAAGAGAAGGCCAGUAAGAAACCGGGCAGAAACCCGACAUAGGAAGUGCAAAAUCAGGGGAAGCGUUGCGGUGAAAAUCUUGCACAAUACAAUGGAGAACAAGAUCGUGAGGAAAGCCGAUGGCCAUGUUCAACGUCAAUUUCUGUUCCAAUAGCAGAACUGGGGGAUAAGAAGAUGUGCCAAAUAUCUUCUCAUUCUCUAGCAGCAUUUGUUCUUUUCCGGUUUUCCCUUCAAGCCAUUUAUUUGUUCGCCUCGGAGCUUAAAAUAUAAAAUCAUAAGAUAAUUUAAGUCACUCCCAUGGUAAUGUCCGACAUACAUCUUGCGGUGUACAUAACUUUUGCUUUGAAACAGAGGGAAUUGGCCCCCAAAUAAGCAGUUGGCACAAGGCCAUCCUUAUCGGUUUAGCCAAUCAACGUAUGCCGUAAUAUAUAUAUGCGGUGAGCAAAGAACGAACAAAAUUCCCCGAAUGCUCUCCGUGAUACGAUGUCUCUGUGUUAGGCGAUAUCCUUGUCGGAUAUCCAUCGUGUGAGCCAUCGCACAAUGCAAGGGUGCGGGAGGGAUUACGAUAUUACAAAUCAGCGCGGCAAUGGGAAAUUCGGGAUUUUUCGCGACUGAUUAUCCAAGUUGAUAAAUAUUAAGAUCCGCUGGGGAAGCAAUGGAGAAAUUUUCGCUGCGUCAACUCAAAAUAUGCAGUUCCUUUUUAAUAGCAAGUUUCAUGAGCAGAGGUCAUCGAGGUCGCAUGGGGCUGGAUGAUAUGAUGAUACCUGUGGUAAAUUUUCAAUUUCAAGUUCUCGCAGAUACAACUAAUGUCCAAGAGAGUGGUUAAAAGCAGUGACCCAAGAUAGCACCGAAUUGCAAAAUUUAAUGAACAAGCUUAAAAAAAAGUAAUUUCUAGGAGUUUUGGUGUUCAUCAAGCUAGUAACGAACGAAUAACUUAACCGCAGCCACAGGAGCACAUCGAUGAUAAAAAAAGAAAAGAUAAAAAAAGGACAAUAAUGGAGAGAUUAUGCAGCAGGGAUUUUGCAUGGGAAAUCAGUUAAUUGUCACGAACUGUGGCGUCUCGUUUGGGUCCUCAUCAACAGUCGGGGGCGAUGUGGGAUUGUUGAACUCUUUUAGAUCAUAUGGGGCAACAUGUCACGGAUAGUUUGGGAUGCUAAACACCAAGGGUUAAAAAUCGAACACAUGACG
rnacentral:sRNA from 1 species